rnacentral:rRNA from 1 species
CCUACGGGUGGCAGCAGUGGGGAAUAUUGCACAAUGGGGGGAACCCUGAUGCAGCGACGCCGCGUGAGUGAAGAAGCGAUUCGGCGCGUAAAGCCCUAUCGGCAGGGAAGAAGAUGACGGUACCUGACCAAGAAGCCCCGGCUAAAUACGUGCCAGCAGCCGCGGUAAUACGUAGGGGGCAAGCGUUAUCCGGAUUUACUGGGUGUAAAGGGGGCGCAGACGGCAAGGCAAGGCAGGAGUGAAAGCCCGGGGCCCAACCCCCGGACUGCUGUUGGAACUGUAUCGCUUGAGUACAGGAGGGGGAGGCGGAAUUCCGAGGGUAGCGGUGAAAUGCGUAGAGAUUAGGAGGAACACCGGUGGCGAAGGCGGCCUGCCGG